GAUGAACGCUAGCUACAGGCUUAACACAUGCAAGUCGCGGGGCAGCAUGGGGGUUGCUUGCAAUCCCCGAUGGCGACCGGCGCACGGGUGAGUAACGCGUAUCCAACCUGCCCUUCACCACGGGAUAACCCGGCGAAAGUCGGACUAAUACCGUAUGUUGUCCAUUGACGGCAUCCGAUUUGGACGAAAGGUUUGGCGGUGAAGGAUGGGGAUGCGUCCGAUUAGCUGGACGGCGGGGUGACGGCCCACCGUGGCGACGAUCGGUAGGGGUUCUGAGAGGAAGGUCCCCCACACUGGAACUGAGACACGGUCCAGACUCCUACGGGAGGCAGCAGUGAGGAAUAUUGGUCAAUGGGCGUAAGCCUGAACCAGCCAAGUAGCGUACAGGAUGACGGCCCUAUGGGUUGUAAACUGCUUUUAUGCGGGGAUAAAGUGGCCCACGUGUGGGUUUUUGCAGGUACCGCAUGAAUAAGGACCGGCUAAUUCCGUG
rnacentral:rRNA from 1 species